UGAUGUUCUGUCUGUAUUUGAUUUUAUUGCCAUUUCCAUUAGCCGUUUGUGAAAAGCUUGUUUCAUUCAUAGGUUAUAAUAUGAUGAUUGAUCGGUUCACAUCAAUGUUAUAUUGUGAGUUCUGUGAUGUUUCCAAAGAGGUGGCAGAGUUGUUUGGAUCCAUAAUUAAGUGGGAUCAUGUUUGGAAUGUAAGGCAUGGAGUUGUGUUGCGUCAUGUGGCAUCAUUUAUUUGUUUGAAGAGGAUUAUAGAGUUGUGUUAUUAUGUGUAUUUAUCUCACUUAUGGCAUAAAGGUGUAAAUGCUUGAGACACUGGAAUUUUUGCUGAAACAGAAUGCAUUUCUUGUCAUUGAGUCAGACUUUUGCGGUGUUAUUUAUUAGGUUAUUUCUGUUCUACUUGAGCUUGGACUCCAUGAGAAAGUAAUGAAGAUAUAGAUGGUUUAGUUAGAGCCAUUGGUAGUGUUUGCUUUGUUUACUGCCUCGAGAGGUAAAUUGUACUGUUGAUGCCUUGGCCAAUUUGGUAUUGACAGAACCAGCAUGUUUAAAAUUUGAUGAUGGCUGCUUAUGAUGGAGAUGCAGCUGCAUUGUUUCUUUGUUGAUCAAAGUUUUCUAUAGUUGUGUUGUUUAAUUUGCAGAAUGUUGUAUUGGCGUUGUAGUUGCUGCCAUUCUGCUUGGAGGUCUCUUGUAAACUCGACCUACAAAGCUUUCAAGUUUUUUUUGUAACUCCGAUUUAUUUAAUAAAAUAUGAUUUGGCUUAUAAAAGAA